rnacentral:rRNA from 1 species
UAGGGAAUCUUCCGCAAUGGGCGAAAGCCUGACGGAGCAACGCCGCGUGAGUGAUGAAGGUCUUCGGAUCGUAAAACUCUGUUAUUAGGGAAGAACAAAUGUGUAAGUAACUAUGCACGUCUUGACGGUACCUAAUCAGAAAGCCACGGCUAACUACGUGCCAGCAGCCGCGGUAAUACGUAGGUGGCAAGCGUUAUCCGGAAUUAUUGGGCGUAAAGCGCGCGUAGGCGGUUUUUUAAGUCUGAUGUGAAAGCCCACGGCUCAACCGUGGAGGGUCAUUGGAAACUGGAAAACUUGAGGGCAGAAGAGGAAAGUGGAAUUCCAUGGGUAGCGGUGAAAUGCGCAGAGAUAUGGAAGAACACCAGUGGCGAAGGCGACUUUCUGGUCUGUAACUGACGCUGAUGUGCGAAAGCGUGGGGAUCAAACAGG